rnacentral:rRNA from 1 species
GGAUGUGAUCAUACCAGCACUAAUGCAUCCGAUCCCAUCAGAACUCCGCAGCUAAGCGCGCUUGGGCGAGAGUAAUAUUGGGUUGGGUGACCUCCUGGGAAGUCCUCGUGUUGCACACC